rnacentral:rRNA from 1 species
UGGCGACCGGCAAACGGGUGCGGAACACGUACGCAACCUUCCUUCAAAUGGGGGAUAGCCCACCGAAAGGUGGAUUAAUACCCCGUAACAUAGUGGAGUGGCAUCACUCUAUUAUUAUAGCUCCGGCGUUUGAAGAUGGGCGUGCGGCUGAUUAGGUAGUUGGCGGGGUAACGGCCCACCGAGCCAGCGAUCAGUAACUGGUGUGAGAGCACGACCAGUCACACGGGCACUGAGACACGGGCCCGACUCCUACGGGAGGCAGCAGUAAGGAAUAUUGGGCAAUGGACGCAAGUCUGACCCAGCCAUGCCGCGUGGAGGAUGAAGGCCCUCUGGGUUGUAAACUUCUUUUAUUUGGGAAGAANUCACUCUUUUCUAAGGGUGUUGACGGUACCAGAUGAAUAAGCACCGGCUAACUCCGUGCCAGCAGCCGCG